AUGUAUUAGGAUUAUAACUAUGUUAAAUUAUAGAUAACAAUAAUACAAUAAGAAUAAGAUCUAUCAGUUAGUUGUUAAGGUAAUGGCUUAACAAGACUAUGACGGAUAACGGUAUUACUUUGUAAUAUUCCGGAGAAGGAGCCUGAGAGAUUGCUACUAAGUCUAAGGAUUGCAGCAGGGGCGAAACUUGACCUAUGAUAUGAUAUUGAGGCAGUUAUGAGUAGUAUUUUUAAUUAUUGUAGUAUUGUAAGUAUAUACUACAAGAUAAAUCGGAGGGCAAAUCGAGUGCCAGCAGCCGCGGUAAUACUUGUUCCGAUAGUGUGUAUGAUGAUUGAUGCAGUUAAAAAGUCUGUAGUUUAUUAUUAAUAAGCAUUGUGAGGUAUAUUGUAUGGUUAGGAGAGAGAUGAAAUGUGAUAACCCUAACUGGAUGAACAGAAGCGAAAGCUAUAUACUUAAAUGUUUUAUUAGAACAAGGACGUAAGCUAGAGGAUCGAAGAUGAUUAGAUACCAUUGUAGUUCUAGCAGUAAACUAUGUUAAAUCAUAGAUACAUUAUUAAUAUGUAUUUAUGUAAAGAAAUUAAGAUUAUAUUGACUCUGGGGAUAGUAUGAUCGCAAGAUUGAAAAUUAAAGAAAUUGACGGAAGAAUACCACAAGGAGUGGAUUGUGCGGCUU
rnacentral:rRNA from 1 species